UUUCGCAAUGCCCGAAAGGGUGACGAAGCGACGCCGCGUGUGGGAAGAAGGCCUUCGGGUUGUAAACCACUGUCGGGAGUUAGGAAAUGUAAGGGUGCUAAUAGUAUCCUUGCUUGACUAAGGCUCCGGAGGAAGCCACGGCUAACUCUGUGCCAGCAGCCGCGGUAAUACAGAGGCGGCAAGCGUUGUUCGGAAUUAUUGGGCGUAAAGAGCACGUAGGCGGCCUUGUAAGUCAGUUGUGAAAGCCUUCUGCUUAACGGAAGAACAGCAGCUGAUACUGCAAGGCUAGAGUGCGGAAGGGGAGAGUGGAACUUCUGGUGGAGCGGUGAAAUGCGUAGAUAUCAGAAGGAACGCCGGCGGCGAAGGCGACUCUCUGGUCCGUAACUGACGCUGAGUGUGCGAAAGCUAGGGGAGCAAACGGGAUUAGAUACCCCGGUAGUCCUAGCCGUAAACGAUGGGCACUAAGUAGAGGGGUUUUA
rnacentral:rRNA from 1 species